CCCUGAUUUAACUGAGUAUGAAUUCUUUUGAAUAAUAGUGUUUUUUUUAAUUAUGAAAACUUAUUAUUUAUUAUUUUUUAUAAUGACUGGCUUCCUUAUUCGGCUAAAAAUUAUUCAGCAUCUUCAAAAUUUCUUUUAGAGUUACCAAAAAACGAAAAAAUCGAAAAAAAAAAUGGAAUAAAAAACUUUACAAAAUGGCAUAGAGUUCAAGGCGAUAUCUCGCAAAAAAAUUUCAAUUUUCAAACGCUGAUUACGGCCAAACUAAAGGAGCUAGGAGAAAACGGUUUUUUCUAUCGUAAAGAGGACAUCACAAUCCAUAAGAUAGGAUCGGUUUCAUUUGAUUUUGAGACAUUUUAAAAAUUGGCAGAUUUUAAGGGUUAAUAAAGAUGUCAACUUUUUUUUAUUUUUUUUUAUUUUCUCAAUUACAGCUAUACUAUUCGAAAAAGUGGAACUAUUUUAAUUCCUACCUAUGCAAAAUGAUCCGGGGAAUCGAUUGGCAUCGAGAAAAUUGCCAAAUUCCCAAUAGUUUUUUAGUUAUGAAUUUUUUAAAAUUUUACCAAUUUUUGCAUUUAUCUGCAAUUUUCUCGAAAACUACUAGUCGGAGAACAAUAAUCUUUUUUGAAAAAAAUAGAUAAUUUAAAGAGCUUUUUAACGAUAAUACACUUCAUAGAGUGAUCUCUAAUAGUUCCAGAGUUAUUCCUCGAUAAAUGUUCCGGGUACCGAAAACUGACCAAAAUCGUGACAAUAAUUGAAAAAAAUCAAACAUCAAAAAAUCGAACAAAUGGACUUAUUUUGAACUUUUAACAACUCUAGAGGGAUGUAAAAGCAUAUAUAAGUCCAAAAAACAAUGACAGAACGAGUUAAAAAAAAUAAUUUUUUCACUUCAACGCAAACACUUUAUUGAAAUUUGCAAAUUCUUAAUUUAUUUUUCAAGCGCCGAUUCGAUUAGAACGGGCUUUGAAAAAAACUACAUAAUGACAAUGGCGCAGAUUUCAAGGCGAUAAUUAUGCAAUAAAAUGUUCAUAUUGUUUAACACAUUGCAUAAUUGGAAAAAAAAUGGUAGGUAAGUACAUAAAUUUUUAAACGGGUUCGAUUCUUCCGAAAACAGAUGUAAAUAUUUGACGAAAUUUGAUUGGAUUUUUUGUAGCAGAUGGGAACAAUGUUGACCGAAAAAAACCUCGAUAAAUGUUUAAUAUUCUAGUAAGUAUAAAGAUUGAGUUUUCACUGCUGCACUUUUCCAAUAAUUAGUAUGACGGUACAUAAGGAAAAACUGGACCUUGAAACAAUUUUUCCGUGUCAAGAUCAAAGUUAAUACACUGACUCAGGUGGUGAGAGAAUUUUAAUCCUAGUCGCCCCCCCUUUACAAAAAAAAACCCAAACACAAAGAAGGAUUUAAACCGACGAUAAAUACUCACCGAAAUAAGAAAAGGAAAAUCCGGUCGAAAAUCUGAAACAAAGAGCAACGUUUUAGUGGAAAAGAAGCUUUACAAUUGAAUAUUUAAUCAAGAGGAAAAGUCUCGACUGGUUUUUGCUUUGGCAAUUUCCACGUUCUUUAAAAAAUAAUUUAGCAAAACGACAAUCAUUCAAGGAGCCUUCAUACGACCCCAAUAAAUUCAUUUUAUCUUUA